rnacentral:lncRNA from 1 species
AGAAUUAAGACACUGAGUGGGAAGAGAGAUACAAAUAUGUCCAUAGAAAUAUGGAAGGUUUUAAGCCAGAAAAUCCUUAAAUGAAGGUCUGUAGCAGUAUCUCUCCAGAUAUUUAAAAAUACAAUGAUCACCAAAAUAUGCUAUAAAUGUUUAAAAUGGACUCCUAUCGAAAGUUCAGAGGUUAAAGAUGAUGUUGUUUAUGGUACUCCUAGAAAUUGAUUCUUCUUUAUUUUUUCUUUUCGUUGAGUUUAAUUGCCACUAGAAUUAUUUUCAAGUUAAGAAGAUAAGAGGAUUGACUUUUUAAACUUCAAAAUGAACUUCCCUGCUGUGACUGACUAUAUUCCCCAGUAUGGAGAAUUAUGAGGAACCUGUUGAACAGAAAAGUCUCUGACCAUAAUCAAGGUCACACAGUCAGAAGGCAUCCCAGCAGACACUCCACACUAGCCAAUGUGGAUUCAGAGACUGCACCCUUGAUUACUGUGUUGUUUGAUGAUACUAGUGCACCUUCAUGAAUCAGAACUUUCCAUAUAUGGAGGUUAUUCAGCAUGUCCUUUGUGAGUAAUGGUUACAGGUAUAAGGUGCAUACAGGUAGAUGUGAAGAAGGCAGUGGAGGAUAACAGGAAAAUGGAAGAGAAUGAGGAAAUGUAUGGUCCUGUGGAAGAAACACUGGAAUUAAGCCGGCAUCAAUUGCGGGCAAGGCUGAAUCCAGGUUUUGGGGGCCUGAAGCUUAAUCAAUGUGGAGGACCUCUUUGAGGAAAAGCAUGCAAAAUUACAAAUACAAAAUUAGUUUAAAAACAUCUGAGGAAGAUAGAAAACAUUUUAUCUUUCAAGAUAAAAAAAGAAAAGCUCUUUGCCAACAGAAAACAUAAUAUGCGGACUCUAUGGCUAUUGUUUCUGAAAAAUAUAAGAGAUGAUUACAUCACAUUGUGUAUUCUGUAGGAAAAACACUGUAAUGCUUAUAUGGCUAAUAAUGGAAUGAUCUAAGUCAAUAUAUUGUGCAGUUUUGAGUGACAGAAGAA